AUUGAACGCUGGCGGCAUGCCUAACACAUGCAAGUCGAACGGCAGCACGGCAGUAGCAAUACUGUGGGUGGCGAGUGGCGGACGGGUGAGGAAUACGUCGGAAUCUGCCCAGUCGUGGGGGGAUAACUAGCCGAAAGGUUAGCUAAUACCGCAUACGACCGAGAGGUGAAAGCGGGGGACCGCAAGGCCUCGCGCGAUUGGAUGAGCCGACGUCGGAUUAGCUAGUUGGAGGGGUAAAGGCCCACCAAGGCGACGAUCCGUAGCUGGUCUGAGAGGAUGAUCAGCCACACUGGAACUGAGACACGGUCCAGACUCCUACGGGAGGCAGCAGUGGGGAAUAUUGGACAAUGGGCGCAAGCCUGAUCCAGCAAUGCCGCGUGUGUG
rnacentral:rRNA from 1 species